rnacentral:lncRNA from 1 species
AUUUAUCUGUGUUUCCUCCUCAGCCUCGCUCCUCUCCUGUCUGUUGAAGCGUGUCUCUCCUGUAGCGCCUCCUGGUGGUGGAUUUAUCUGUGUUUCCUCCUCAGCUCUCGCUCCUCUCCUGUCUGUUGAAGCGUGUCUCUCCUGUAGCGCCUCCUGGUGGUGGAUUUAUCUGUGUUUCCUCCUCAGCUCUCGCUCCUCUCCUGUCUGUUGAAGCGUGUCUCUCCUGUAGCGCCUCCUGGUGGUGGAUUUAUCUGUGUUUCCUCCUCAGCUCUCGCUCCUCUCCUGCCUGUUGAAGCGUGUCUCUCCUGUAGCGCCUCCUGGUGGUGGAUUUAUCUGUUUCCUCCUCAGCCCUCGCUCCUCUCCUGCCUGUUGAAGCGUGUCUCUCCUGUAGCGCCUCCUGGUGGUGGAUUUAUCUGUGUUUCCUCCUCAGCCCUCGCUCCUCUCCUGUCUGUUGAAGCGUGUCUCUCCUCCUGUAGCGCCUCCUGGUGGUGGAUUUAUCUGUGUUUCCUCCUCAGCUCUCGCUCCUUCUGCUGUUGAAGGUGUCUCCUCCUGUAGCGCCUCUGUGGUGGAUUUAUCUGUGUUUCCUCCUCAGCUCUCGCUCCUCUCCUGUCUGUUGAAGCGUGUCUCUCUCCUCCUCUCUCGGGGGCUGGUGCGCCUCCUGGUGGUGGACUCGGUGGCCGCUCUGUUCCGCUCUGAGUUCGAGGCGUUGAUUGGCUGCAGAGGCACCGGCAGCUAUUGGCCGUUUCCUCCGAGCUCCAGCGAAUCAGCCGCCAGUUCAGCGCCGUCGUGCUCUGCACCAAUCAGGCGGUGGACCUGGUGAACCUGGACCAGGACCAGGACCAGGACCAGAGACUGGGGUAAGACUCAGGGGCCGUUUCCCAAAGCCCAGGGGCCUCGACAUGUUAGAACUUCCUUCCAGUCCAAAGAGCAGCUAAUGGAACACACUUCAGAGCUAAAGGAAGUGACAUCAUAAAAUAAAACAGGAAGUUGUGUUUUUUCUUUUUUUUUCUUCUUUUCUUUAUUUAAACAAUUUAAAAAUACAACAUCUCGUCGAGGUACAAAAUACGAUAAAAAUACAAGUAAACAGAUUUAGGGACUGUACAGAAAAGCAAGGCACGAAAUUAAAAACAUUGGAGCAUUAGUGUCAAUUAAAGAAAAAAGAAAAGGUAUUUGGACAUGUCGGAAACUAUUUUCUUAGUAGAGCUGGAUUUGAUAUGUCUUAACGAGGAAAAAUACAAUUUGAAUUCAUUCAUAAAGUGAUUGAAACUUGUGAGUGUCUCCGUUUACAACAAUGUAUGUGGUAUUUUGCAAGAAGAAAAACAAUAUUAACAAUCUCGGACACAGAAUUUUCUAAACCUUCAAAAAAUAUAUUCACUUUCAAAAUUGGGGAUAUUCAAGAUUUUAAGAGCUAGCCAAUCUCUAAUAUCACUCCAGAAAC